GGACCUCUAGCUCAGUUGGUUAGAGCCCUCGGCUCAUAACCGAGUUGUCGUAGGUUCGAGUCCUACGAGGUCCACCA
rnacentral:tRNA from 1 species